GUAACAGGGAUUUUGAUGAUGAAAAAAUCCUUAUACAGCAUCAAAAAGCAAAGCACUUUAAAUGCCAUAUAUGUCAUAAGAAAUUGUAUACAGGACCUGGUUUAGCUAUACAUUGCAUGCAGGUACAUAAAGAAACAAUAGAUGCUGUUCCAAAUGCUAUUCCUGGAAGAACAGACAUUGAACUGGAAAUCUAUGGCAUGGAGGGCAUUCCAGAGAAAGACAUGGAGGAAAGGAGGAGGUUACUUGAACAAAAAACUCAGGCAGAGAGCCAGAAAAAGAAACAACAGGAUGAUUCUGAUGAGUAUGAAGAUGAUGAAUCUGCAGCUUCAACUUCAUUUCAACCACAGCAGGUUCAGCCACAGCAGGGGUACAUUCCCCCAAUGGCACAACCAGGUUUGCCUCCUGUGCCAGGUGCACCAGGAAUGCCUCUAGGUAUACCACCAUUAAUGGCAGGUGUUCCACCUAUGAUGCCUGGAAUGCCUCCAGUGAUGCCUGGAAUGCCACCUGGAUUACAUCAACAGAGAAAAUACAUGCAGUCAUUUUGUGGUGGAAACAUGAUGAUGCCGAUGGGUGGGAUGAUGCCCCCUGGACCAGGAAUACCACCUCUUAUGCCUGGUAUGCCGCCAGGUAUGCCUCCACCAGUUGGUCCUCGUCCUGGGAUGCCUCCAAUGACACAAGCGCAGCCUGUGACAGCACCGGGUAUUCUUAAUAGACCUCCAGCUCCUGCUGCAUCGGCACCUACCCCCCAGCCUCCCGUUACUAAACCACUCUUCCCAAGUGCAGGGCAGAUGGGGACACCUGUCACAAGCUCAAGUACAGCUUCCUCCAAUUCAGAAAGUCUGUCAGCAUCUUCUAACGCUCUGUUUCCUAGCGCAGCACAAGCUGCGGCAGCUGUUCCAGGUCCAGUUGGUACUGAUUUCAAACCUUUGAAUUCUACACCUGCAACAACAACAGAACCCCCCAAACCAACAUUCCCUGCUUACACACAGUCUACAGCCUCAACCACUAGCACAACAAACAGUACUGCAGCUAAACCAGCUACAUCUAUAACAAGUAAGCCUGCUACACUUACAACAACCAGUGCAACCAGUAAGUUGAUCCAUCCAGAUGAGGAUAUAUCUUUGGAAGAGAGAAGGGCACAGUUGCCUAAAUAUCAGCGUAACCUUCCUCGACCAGGACAAGCUUCCUUGGGUAAUCCGCCAGUUGGACCAAUUGGAGGUAUGAUGCCACCACAGCCAGGAAUUCCUCCACAGCAGCAAGGAAUGAGACCGCCUAUGCCACCUCAUGGUCAGUAUGGUGCUCAUCACCAGGGCAUGCCAGGAUACCUUCCUGGAGCGAUGCCUCCUUAUGGUCAGGGACCUCCGAUGGUGCCCCCUUACCAAAGUGGACCUCCUCGACCUCCAAUGGGAAUGAGACCUCCUGUAAUGUCGCAAGGUGGCCGCUACUGAUGCUACUACACACACUCUAAUAGGUUUGGAGAUUAAACCUUUUCUCAUCUUGUGCUGUUAAUAUAGGCAAGCUUCCGUCAAUUAAGGCUUCAUUGUGACUUUAAAAAAAAAAAAAAAAAAGUAUCUUCCCACAUGCAAGGAACUAUUGGACAUUCUUAUCUUACACGGGAAAAAUUAUUUGGAAUAAUAACAGGAACUUUUCCUGAUGUUGCAAUUUAUACUGUAUGGCUUCUUUUUCAUGUUUCAUCUAGGUUUUUAGAAGUGAAGUAUAGUAAAUAUGGUUCGUUAAAUUGUGAAGGCGCUGGAAUUACAUGAACGUACCACCUUAAAGCCCUGCCAUAGGACAGGCUGAGGCAGAGUCUCAGUGUUGCCCUGUUCAGUCUGAGCAGAAUUUCAGCAUUUGCUACUUACUGGUAGAGAAGAAAAAUCCCACAGCACUGCCAGUACAGGUUAGUUUAAUCUGUAAGUACCUGAUGUUCCUAUUUGAAAUAACUCUGUUCAAAUGAUACCAUUGAAGUAGUACAUGAGGAGGGGAAUUUUCAUUUCUCAUAUGUGAAUGUAUCUUUGCUAUCUACUACUGUUUUCAGUAGUGAGUAAACGUCUACUUUUUUUUUUUAUGAAGAUCUGUAAUGAUUUGAACUACACCUGUGGAUAGGUAAUAUUUGCAAUCUCUUUUAAAGGAAUUUUUAUACAGAACUUUGUCAAACAACCAUCUGGUGUUACUGAAAAGCGUAAAGGCCUAAAAUUGAGGAUGAUUCCUCAGUAAUGUGAACAUUACAAAAGAGGCCAUUUUUAGCAGUGAACCAAUUAAUAGGCUAUUAUAUUCAUUCUUAUUUUGUGGAAGAAGCAUUCCUGUUGGUUGCAAUCUAUAGCAGUAAUUGCAAUCUUUGGUCGGAUUCUCUUUAGUUAUUGUUAAUUACUGCCUCCUCCUGGCAUAUUUAUGCUCUGAUAGGUCUGUUAGCCAGAAGCUUGUUUUUCUCUGAUUUUUCGUUAGUCCGUUUCAGUACUUUAAAGGCUACCAACAAGUGUGGUUUUUGCCCAGCUGUUUUAUCUUAACUCGAGUUACUGCUCUUCUGCUGUUUUUGUCUUCCUUUGUGCCAUUCAGUUUUCCUGGAAGUUCUGGCAUUUUGGUUUUUAUUGCGUAGUCUCCAGAGUAUUUUACAACUUAAAGAUUUUUACGACUUAAAAUAAGAAAGAUUCUUUGUAUUGGAUAAAAGAUGCAACCUGCUCCAAAACUAGCUGCCUCCAUUUAUUCAUUUGUUUAAACUUAAUGUUCCUCUACAUACCAGCAUGGGAGAUGAAAAUUGAUUAUACUUCCUGUGCUCUGGCACAUGGCUUGAUGACAAGCUGUGAAACUUUCUGUGCCUUAAUUCACUUUUCAAGGGCAUGUUAUCACACAGAGAAUUUGAGGGGCUUUUGAAAUUGUUGGUGCAGAGGUAUGUGAAAGCAAGAUCAGCGUACACUAGUGAGGUACCUAAACAGAAACUUUAGUUCUGCCGGCUCGUCUAAAUGAUCCGGAGUAGUUUCAUUAGUGACACAGUAGACUUGACACUUCUCUUCAGCAGUGUAACUUGUUUUAGAGUUUUGAAAUUUUACACAACUUUGCAGAAUACAUCAUACUAGCCUGUAAAUGCAUUAUCAAAGGGAACGUGUCUUCCCACGUUUUAGAAUAGUUAAAAUCAACAAUAGUUACAAUAGUUUACAUCUCCUGGCACUUUCUCUACGUCAUUUCUCAGACGUCCUCACUAAAUUAUUUUGUUUGCCGGAGUAGUUCCAUGCAAAUGUGAAUAAUGCUAAGCAAGCAUUUCUUCCUAGAAGAGAAAAAGGUGGAACAUUGCAUAAUAAAUUUAAUGACUAAACCUUUUCUGUAUCUCCUAAAUGUUAGUAGCAGGUGUGCAUGACUACAUGGGGUUCUCUGCUACGAGACCGUUAUCCUCUAGUAGAGCAUAUGCAUCUUUCUUUUGAUUACUGCCAUUGACGCUUAAUGCAGUGCUUUGUAAGCCAGGAGUAAUUGAUUGGUUUUGGCUGCAGAAUUACUAUGUGAAGUCAGUUUUGACCGUGGUCGAACACUGGUCUGCACUACUUGUACCCCAGCUUGGCAACAAAUGGGAAUAACUACAGGGUGCUGUUCUCUGUUGUCUCAUCACCAAAAAGUACAGCUCUCUAGGGUAGUGCUAAUAUGAACUUUGGUAGAAGGUCCUCUCUUUAUGAAACUUUAUGGCAAUGAAUUGCAGUACUUGCUGGUAGAAUUGAGCUUUGAGACAGUACAGAAAAGAAUACUAGGAGUCUGGCCUUUCCCAGACAGGUGAGCGGUCUUAAACCGUAGCUCGAUUCUUGAUCCGUUGUUGCAACUGCUAUCCAGUGUAAUGCAGUUCAGAAGUCUCCUGUCCCAAUUCUGACGUGGUAAAGAUGAAGAGGGAGUCAGUUCACACUGCUUACUUCAGACAGCUGCCUAAAGGCUCUGGAUCGCCCCAUGAGAGAUUCCAUUUGCUGUGUAGUGAACUCGAGACGCCUUAUUGUUUUUGAUUGCAUCUUAAUGUGUCUUAAAGCGCAUGAUCAGAAUAUGUCCCCUCUCAGUACAACCAGGGGAGUCGCUGUGCUGUGUGUGGUUUUGUUUUUGUUUUUUAAUGUAACUUGAUCCUGCUUUUGUGCAAGUAGUAGAAAGGGAUUGGAUCACUGAUCUUUUUCAAAAGACAAGUGGCAAAUAUUGGUAAGUUAAUAUUUUAAUUCCAGAAAGUGAGAGACUGGUAAGUAAAUGCAUCACUUUAAUGCAUGCAAAUAAUAGUAACCGUAACUGUAGCUUAAUUUUAUAGCAUUCGGUUUACAAAGAAGAUUUGAAGAAAAUACAGAGCUAACAUCGUUUGCAUGUGUUGGGCACCUUCUGUGAGCAUAUGCUUCAGGAAUGGAUAACUGCACAUACACACAUCUACAGUGUGUAUCUACCCCUUUGUAACAGUCUCUGAUUAAACAUAAGUGAACCAC